rnacentral:rRNA from 1 species
CUCUUGACAUCCAGAGAACUUUCCAGAGAUGGAUUGGUGCCUUCGGGAACUCUGAGACAGGUGCUGCAUGGCUGUCGUCAGCUCGUGUUGUGAAAUGUUGGGUUAAGUCCCGCAACGAGCGCAACCCUUAUCCUUUGUUGCCAGCGGUUCGGCCGGGAACUCAAAGGAGACUGCCAGUGAUAAACUGGAGGAAGGUGGGGAUGACGUCAAGUCAUCAUGGCCCUUACGAGUAGGGCUACACACGUGCUACAAUGGCGUAUACAAAGAGAAGCGACCUCGCGAGAGCAAGCGGACCUCAUAAAGUACGUCGUAGUCCGGAUUGGAGUCUGCAACUCGACUCCAUGAAGUCGGAAUCGCUAGUAAUCGUAGAUCAGAAUGCUACGGUGAAUACGUUCCCGGGCCUUGUACACACCGCCCGUCACACCAUGGGAGUGGGUUGCAAAAGAAGUAGGUAGCUUAACCUUCGGGAGGGCGCUUACCACUUUGUGAUUCAUGACUGGGGUGAAGUCGUAACAAGGUAACCGUAGGGGAACCUGCGGUUGGAUCACCUCCUUACCUAAAGA